rnacentral:rRNA from 1 species
UACGAAGGGGGCUAGCGUUGUUCGGAAUCACUGGGCGUAAGCGCACGUAGGCGGACUUUUAAGUCAGGGGUGAAAUCCCGGGGCUCAACCCCGGAACUGCCUUUGAUACUGGAAGUCUUGAGUCCGAGAGAGGUGAGUGGAACUCCGAGUGUAGAGGUGAAAUUCGUAGAUAUUCGGAAGAACACCAGUGGCGAAAGGCGCUCACUGGCUCGGUACUGACGCUGAGGUGCGAAAAGCCGUGGGGGAGCAAAACAGGAUUAGAUACCCCGUGUCA